rnacentral:ncRNA from 1 species
GCUUAGGCGUUUUUGAGUGGAGAAACGCUUAAGGCCGCAUGGAUUGCUUGGGAAAACUCUAAGUCUGUGACACUAGUAACUGGUUCCCUCUGAAGUUUCCCUCAGUAUAGCUGGAGCCCUUAGCGAGUUCUAUCGGGUAAAGCCAUUGAUUAGAGGCAUCUAGAGCUCAGCGCCCUCGACCUCUUCUCAAACUUUAAAUAGGUAGGACGGCGUGGCUGCUUCAUUGAGCAGCGCCACGGAAUCGAGAGCUCCAAGUGGGCCAUUUUUGGUAAGCAGAACUGACGAUACGGGAUGAACCGAAAGUCAAGUUACGGUGCCCAACUGCGCGCUAACCUAGAACUCACAAAGGGUGUUGGUCGAUUAAGAUGGCAGGAUGGUGGUCAUAGAAGUCGAAAUCCGCUAAGGAGUGUGUAACAACUCACCGGCCGAAUCAACUAGCCCCAAAAAUGGAUGGCGCUUAAGCGCAUGACCUAUACCCGACUGUUGGGGCAAGGGCUAGGCCCCAAUGAGUAGGAGGGCGCGGCGGUCAUCGUAAAACCCAGGGCGCGAGCUCGGGCGGAGCGGCCGUCGGUGCAAAUCUUGGUGGUAGUAGCAAAUAUUCAAAUGAGAACUUUGAUGGCCGAAAAGGGGAAAGGUUCCAUGUGAACGACACUUGUACAUGGGUUAGUCGAUCCUAAGAGAUGGGGAAGCCCGUCCGAUAACGUGUCCAGCGCGAGCUUCGAAAGGGAUUCGGGUUAAAAUUCCUUAACCAGGAUGCGGCAGCUGAUGACAACGUUAGGGAGUCCAGAGACGUUGAUGGGGCCCUCGGGAAGAGUUAUCUUUUCUAUUUAACGGCCUGCUCACCCUGGAAACGGCUCAGCCCAUGGUAGGGUCCAGUGGCCGGAAGAGCACUGCAAGUCGUGUGGUGUCCGGUACGCCCCCGGCGGCCCUUGAAAAUCUAAAGGACUGAGUUUCAUCCGCGCCCGGUCAUACUCAUAACCGCAUUAGGUCUCCAUAGUGAACAACCUCUGGUC